GAAGGCAGACCUGUGUGUGGAAGAUGAGGCUGAUGAGUCUCCUCCUGUGCCUGCUGACAGACCCCCAGGGUGUCUGGACCCAGAUUCAGCUGCAGGAGUUGGGCCCAGGACUACUGAAACCCUCGCAGACACUCUCCCUCACAUGCACUGUCUUUGGUUACUCCAUCACUACUGAUUACUACGUGAGCUGGAUCCGCCAGCCUCCAGGGAAGGGGCUGGAGUGGAUCGGUGGCAUAUAUUAUAGUGGAAGCAAUUACUACAGCCCGUCCUUCAAGAGCCGAGCCUCCAUCUCCAGAGACACGUCCAAGAACCAGUUCUCUCUGCAGCUGAGCUCCGUGAGCACUGAGGACACAGCUGUCUAUUAUUGUGCAAGAGGCACAAUGAGUGGAAUCUGA